CCUACGGGUGGCAGCAGUGAGGAAUAUUGGUCAAUGGGCGCGAGCCUGAACCAGCCAAGUAGCGUGAAGGAUGACUGCCCUACGGGUUGUAAACUUCUUUUAUAAAGGAAUAAAGUGAGGCACGUGUGCCUUUUUGUAUGUACUUUAUGAAUAAGGAUCGGCUAACUCCGUGCCAGCAGCCGCGGUAAUACGGAGGAUCCGAGCGUUAUCCGGAUUUAUUGGGUUUAAAGGGAGCGUAGGGGGGUUGUUAAGUCAGUUGUGAAAGUUUGCGGCUCAACCGUAAAAUUGCAGUUGAUACUGGGUGUCUUGAGUGCAGUAGAGGGAGGAGGAAUUCGUGGUGUAGCGGUGAGAUGCUUAGAUAUAAAGAAGAACUACGAUUGCGAAGGCAGCUUAUUGGACUGUAACUGAGGCUGAUGCGCGAAAGUGUGGGUAUCAAACAGGAUGAGAUAACCUAGGAGUC
rnacentral:rRNA from 1 species